rnacentral:rRNA from 1 species
AAGACCUUGCGCUUUUGGAGCGGCCGAUGCCUGGUUAGCUUGUUGGUAAGGUAAAAGCUUACCAAGGCUUCGAUCAGUAGCUGGUCUGAGAGGACGACCAGCCACACUGGGACUGAGACACGGCCCAGACUCCUACGGGAGGCAGCAGUGGGGAAUUUUGGACAAUGGGGGCAACCCUGAUCCAGCCAUGCCGCGUGAGUGAAGAAGGCCUUCGGGUUGUAAAGCUCUUUCAGCCGGAACGAAACGGUUACGGAUAACACCCGUGACUACUGACGGUACCGGAAGAAGAAGCACCGGCUAACUACGUGCCAGCAGCCGCGGUAAUACGUAGGGUGCGAGCGUUAAUCGGAAUUACUGGGCGUAAAGCGUGCGCAGGUGGUUUUGUAAGUCAGAUGUGAAAGCCCCGGGCUCAACCUGGGAACU